AUUGAACGCUGGCGGCAUGCCUUACACAUGCAAGUCGAACGGCAGCACGGGUGCUUGCACCUGGUGGCGAGUGGCGAACGGGUGAGUAAUAUAUCGGAACGUACCUUAUUGUGGGGGAUAACGCAGCGAAAGCUGUGCUAAUACCGCAUAAUCCCUAAGGGGGAAAGCGGGGGACCGUAAGGCCUCGCGCAAUUAGAGCGGCCGAUACCUGAUUAGCUAGUUGGUGAGGUAAAGGCUCACCAAGGCAACGAUCAGUAGCUGGUCUGAGAGGACGGUCAGCCACACUGGGACUGAGACACGGCCCAGACUCCUACGGGAGGCAGCAGUGGGGAAUUUUGGACAAUGGGGGCAACCCUGAUCCAGCAAUGCCGCGUGAGUGAAGAAGGCCUUCGGGUUGUAAAGCUCUUUUGUCAGGGAAGAAACAGCAGCUCUAACACAGUUUGCGAAUGAUGGUACCUGAAGAAUAAGCACCGGCUAACUACGUGCCAGCCGCCGCGGUAA
rnacentral:rRNA from 1 species